rnacentral:lncRNA from 1 species
CUCCCCAGAAAUGGUGUCACAUGACAGUUUCCAGGGAGAAGACCUCUGUGACUGACAGAUUUCUAAUGCGUCUUUCUCCUUUUCCCAGCCCACAACUGUUUCAGAAAGAGUGAAGAGGAUACCUCGGCAGCUGCCUCUCCUUCCACAAAGGGCCCUUUUCCCCAUUCACCUCACUUCAGAGUUGUGCCCCAUUCCCCCAUUGCCUUCUACCACAUUGUCUUUCUUUUAGAAAAGAAGCAGAUGACAAGAGAAAUCAGUAUCUGUGCCUGGCUGGAGGAAGGAAGCUUGUCAAGAUAUGCAGAGAGUUUUUACAGGAACACAGGUAAUGGUUUGUAUAUGCUCUGCCCACAGAGUGGCACUAUUUGGAGGUGUGGCCCUGUUGAAGUAGGUGUGUCACUGUUGGCUUUAAUACCCUAGUCUUAGCUGCCUGGAAGUCAGUAUUUUGCUAGCAGCCUUCAGAUGAAGAUGUAGAACUCUCAGCUUCUCCUGCACCAUGCCAGCCUGGAUGCUGCCAUGCUCCUGCCUUGAUGAUACUGGACUGAACCUCUGAACCGUGAUGGGAACAGAACCAGAAUGGGGGACGUUGCUGGGGAGAAGGACUGCAAAGGUUAAACAGGUUGAGUUGUCUGGCAGCUCCAAGAACAGGAGUUUUCUUUGGGAACUAAGACUCACUGGAGGUAGCUGAAUGCAAGCAAAUUGCCUGGCUUGUUUGUAAUGAACAAACGUGGUACCUGUGGGAUCCCUUUGAGGGGGUCACUGGACUUAUACUUCAUUCAUCAUAAUUUCCCUGGGAAAUACACACUCCUCACAAUAUCCCCUGAGCAGACAGGUAAACUCCAUCUCACCAGAGCACCACCUGGUCCAGUCACUUGCUUAAACUCUGUUGACAAUGGUUCAGCAUUCUAGUGGAAGUAAGCCUAGCCUUGAAGUGACUCCAAAUGGGACACCUGUAUUCUUCUCUUUUGCUGGUGGGAGAAACCUGUGGUCUCUGGAGGUGAGCUUGGAAAUCAGUCAGUUCUCUCUGGUCCUGAUUUGAUAGAGGACCAUCCAUCCAUUCAUUGAGCUUUUUGAUUCUUUGACUUGGAAUGUUAUGGCUUGAAUAUGAACUAUCCUGGAAGGGCUCACAUGUUGAAUACUGGAUUCCAGCAAGUGUAACUCUUUUUGGGGGAUGAGUGAUAGUAAUUAUAGGAGAUGGGGCUAGCUGGAGGAAGGAGGUCACUGGGGAGAGUGCCUCAGGUGUUAUACCUGGUACUUGGGCCCUUGUCUCUUUGCUUCUCACUUGUCACCUGAGCAGACUUUGCCACACUGACUACCACUGUGAAGUUCUGUCUGGCCACAGGACCAUAAUCAACAGAAUUAAGACUGUGAACUGGUAUCUCUGUAACCAUAAGCUAAAAUAAAGUCACUGUUCCUUACA